ACGAAAGGACUGGGAAGAGCAGGAUAUUGUAUUGCUAGAUGGUCUGCAAGACUACUUUCUUUCAAUUAUGAACUGGAAUAUAAGCCCAGUGCUGGGGUCUGGACUAGAUGACCUCUCAGGAUCCCUUCUAGACCUAUAUUGCUAUGAUUCUCACCCUUUGCUCAUAUAGGGACCAUGGCCAGAAAUCCCAGCCAAGUGGACAAUGCUGGAGCCCACUGCUGUCCAUGCUGGGACCAUCUUGCUCCCUCCCUGUUUGACUGUGAGGCCACAGGGAGAUCUGGCCCAUCCCACCAGCAUCAAUGGCACUCACACAGCAGGGGCUGCUGGAUGGUGACCCCAGCCACAGAGACAGAGCUGCACUGCAGGGUCGUGGCCAGCAUGGUCCCUCCCACCUGCUUCUUACUGCCACCUGGGAUCUCUUCCUCUACCACACUGCUGGAGCCCAGUCCCACCAACCUGCAAGUCCUAGCCCUGGGGCUGGGGUGAGACUGAUCUGUGGGCUUAAGAGACACACAAUACAUACCCCUCUGCAGCUCCAGGGGAAGCUCUCACCCAGUCAAGACGCAUUGCUGUCUAGUAGAGCAGAGAAGGAGAGGACUCCUGGGUCCUAUUCAUGGCCCUGACACUGCUUCCAUGUGUGUCCCUACAUGAAUGGCUUUGAUCCCUCUGUGCCUCAGUUCCCUGUCUGUUACACAGGGUGAUGAGCAUGGGGGCAGGACUUUGGGCACCAAUAUGUGAGGCUCUCUGAGAUGCCAGAGCCAAGUGCUUCCCCCCGGAGAGCCCUGUAUUGCCCCACAUCAUCAUGGAUUGAACAUCAUAACUAGCCUCCAGGUGGCUGGGGCUGACCAAGGGUCUUUCAGACGGGGAACUCCCUGCACGCCCCAUCUGCUGGCUCUCUCCACACCACAGCCAAGGUCUGAUCCAGCUGCCUUGAUGUUAGAUCCCCACAAUGGCCAUUGGGGUCUGCUCGCCAGGCUGGGGGUUAAAGAACAGGGAACAUCAGGUCCUGCCGGGAGCAGGAUAUUGCUCAGCGCCACAGCCAGCCAGGUCUCCUCCCCACCUGCCAUUCUCAAGUCAGGCCCUGAUGGGGGACCCACACGCCACCGGGCAGUCAGGAUGACGCCCUUCUGGAGGAUGGUGGGCAGCAAACCACUGGGAGCCUACUGCCGGCACGGCCUGGAGUGCAGCACCAAGAUGUGCAGGAACGGGCACUGUGCUCCCCCACAGUACGAAUGCUGAAAGCUGGAAGCUGAUGCAAUCCCGGCUGGAGACAAUGCUCCCCAUCUACCCCCAGGCUCAGAGCAUCUGCAGACUGGAGGCCAUCAAUACUUGCCCCUGGGGUGGGACUGUGAGACACAUGAUCCAGAGCCCUGCAAUCACCACUUGGGGGCGAGGGCUCCAGCCUCCCCACACAGGUGGGAGUGUGUCCCAGUCUCCUCACAUGCACCCUCGGUGAAGGGGAAAGUAUUCAUAGUUCCAGCGGGGGCCAAUUCCAAGUCUGACCCAGCACCCCACCCCCACCCCCCAGCAGCAGCCAUCUGGGGGGCUCCCAUAGUGAAGCCUGCACAGACCCAAGCUGCUCGCAGGGACUGUUGUUGCUCCUGAUAUUGAAUGGGGGCUGAGAGUGCAAGGAUUACCCCAACAGGAGCUGGGAGACCAGACCCUUCCUGGCCCCAGCGUUGCUCUGUGCAAGGAAAAUUGGGACUCUUAAAGGAGCCACAUGCGCAAGCAGUUGCCACUCUAUAGGGGCUGAGAUCCCUCCUCAGAGCCAGCCCAACGGAAAUGCCCCUCUGGCCCUACCCAGCAGAGAGAUCCUUUUUGUGCCUUCAUGCCAAGCCAAGAAAGCAUCCCACCUUGGGGUCCCUCUCCUUCCCCAGGGGCUGGGCAGACUCCCAGCCUGCCCCUGGGGACAGGCUCUAGGUGCAGGCUGGAAGUCUACUGGGGGGAUAUCUUCCUGAGGUGGGGGUUCCCACACUCCCCCAUUGCAAGGUGAUGGGCAGCACCCAAACUGCCGCUGCAGGGACCCCAGGGUGGCACCUGGGGUAAACAUGGACUUCUUACUGGAGAGCCCUGAAUCCCCCAAGGCUCCUGGUUGGCUGUGUCACCUGCAGUGUGCUGGGUGCCCCAAGACUGCACCUCACAGACUGUUUGAACCUACGUUGCUUGCUCAAACAAUAAAUGCCUCUGGCCUGAAAGUUUGUGACUUCCUGACUCUUUCUGAAGGGAGCAGAAAGCAUUCACUCCCUGGUUUCCCCAGCAAUCCAACCCUGCAGCUGAUCAGCUCUGGGCACCCCAGGCAGCUGUGCCUAGGAGCUGGGAUGUGUUAGUCGCCAUCAGGGCUGGGCAAAUACCCAUGUCCCCCAGUAGUCCCUUGGCUGCAAGCUGAGCUCCUUUGGCCUGUGUUCCCAGGGAACAUGUGUUAGUAGGACCAUUCUAACGCACAUGUUUGUUGGCAGGGUGCGUGGGAACGGCAAUGUGGAGAAUAUCAGCAGUCGGCAGAAGGCCAGUGCACGACCGCUUGGUUUUCACAAGCUCCCCCACAGCCAGUUAGGGACCCGGCCUCUGUGCUGUCUGAAGUGCAAACACUGUGGGUUGGCAGGCCCAGGCCAUACCACUUUGAAGAGAUAACUGAGCCAAUAGCACCAGGUCCACUGAUGUGGCUUAGAUGAAAAGCCAAAGAAACAUGUCCCAGGCCAACAGAGAAGCACCUGUGUUUUCUCUUUGCCAGCACAUGGGCCUAGCUCCUUCCUGCACAUGCAGGCUGGCUCUGUGCCAAGUGAGACAGGGAUAGUUUCCUGCAUGCAAGGCCUGAUCCCGAGCAGUGCUGAACUCACCCCACGUGGCCUAAGUGUGCUCAGCAACAGUUCUUUGCCCAGUUCUAAAGGCACCGUGUCAACUUGGCCUGCUGCACUGCUCCAGGGACCAGGGCCAGCCUGGAAGAGGUGGAGUUGUGGCGCUUAGGGCAGCAGUAGUGUGCAAAGCAUUGUGCACUGUAAGGUAUAGCCACAUGCUGGAGAUGUGCCUGCCCAGCCCUGGGGAGAGGCUGAUCUCAGGGGGUGCUGUUACUAUAAGUGAUGCUGCUAUACAGCUGCCUUCCUCCUUGAUCCUCUAACAUGCUUUGCAUGGCUUUCCAUUGCAGAGAUCCUGCCCCACAUGGGACUGGGGCUCCUGCUUUGGGUCUCAAUACAUGCCCCAGGUUCCAACACCUCCCACAAGCCCACAGCAAAAUUCAGAUACAGGGGCCUGGUGGGGGGUGACCCUCCCCCCCCCAUUCAGUACGGAUGGCCUCCAGCCCAGAACAGAUGCUGCCAUAAGUUUGCUUCCCAUCACUUGGCAGUAGGGUGUCAAGGCAUCCGGUUUGCUGACUGGGCCGUUAAAAGUCCUGUCGGCGGCACAGCAGGGGCCCGGGGCUAAGGCAGGCUCCCUGCUAGCCC